GCCACGGGGGUGUCGCUUACCGGGAGGGCGGGACAGGAACCUGUCUGGACUGGACCGUGGGGAAGGCGUGGCGGGGCCAGGAGCCUGAGAGACGCCUGGGUAAGAGGAGGGCGUGAAUGAAAACGAUAGUGGGCGGGGCCAGACACAAGGGCGGUGGGCAGGGCCAGGAGCCGGAGGGCGGGGCCAGGGUCCGAGGAGGGCGUGGCUGGACUCCGGGCGCGAGUGGAAUCGGGGCGGGGCCGGGCAUCUCCGCGCGCCCUGGAUCGUGGCUCCGGGGCUCCGGCCCCAAUUUCUCGCAAGCUGAGCGCACCCCGGGAGAGGAGUCGCCUCGACCGGGCGCACCUCCUGUGGUCAGUCUCGGGCGCUGGUUCCCCACGCCGGCCCUGUCAGGGCGCAGUCGGUCAGCUUUUCAUUAGCAGAAAACCCCGGUCGGCACGCCGGCGCCGCGCAGACGUCUCGGUUCAGGGUGAGGCCGUCGCCAGCUCCGGGGCGUGGGCAAGACCGCUUGGGGGCAACAGGAGCCUGUUUCUUGUUGAAUGCCGCCGCAGCGUCAGGGAGCGCUGGAACACGUGGUAAGCCCCCCAUAAGGAAGGCGGCGUCCCCCUUGCUCUCUCGGACCGAGCCGCCAGCUCAGGCCAGGGCGUCCUCUUGCUGAGCGGGGUCUCCCUGGCUUCACGCGAAACCCCGUCACUUGUGCUGUUGCGGGAGCGCUGAGAUCCACUCUCUGCUAUCCUCUGGGUCGCCCGCACCCCCGCCACGGGUAGCUCCCAGUAUCAGCCUUUCUUGGGAUACUCAGGGAGCUUGAGGCACCGUCUGGCUGAACCUGCAUGCCUCCCCAUUCCAGGCAGUGGUGGACUCUGCUUGACCUUGGGCUGACUCCAGGCUCCCAUCAGUGAUUAGGGCACUCAAACUCGCCUCACACCGACCAGUGCCCGAUCCAAAUCCAGAUCCCUCUGGACUCAGCCCCCUGCAGGGAGUCCCAGUAAGAGAAUGUUCUAGUUCCUCUCCAAGCCCCAAGAAAGCAGUGUACUCCUGCCUUGAGCCUCCAGCAGCUCUCAUGCCAGACAAGGAAGCACUGCCCCAGUGCCCUGAUGCCUUCACAGAACCUUAGAUCCAACCAGGCACAUUGGCGUCUCUGGCCUACAUGACAGAGCAAGUUUCAUAAUUCAGGGUCCUGAACUGAUGGGGCUUGGCAACCCUGUACCCCAACCUGGCCUGCUCCUGUAAGCAGGGCACACCCAGGAUAACACAAGGAGUGCGAGGGGGAGCUGACACAUGGGUCUAUAGAGAGCCUGACUUAGGAUGUCCACAGGGUGGGCACCAGCCCAGUGUUCAGGUGAUAGGGCACUGAGGCCCUGAAGGUUCUAUUUGGAGGUGGGGAAGGGGGCUGCCUCUUACCUCUGUAUCCACUGCAGGACGCUCCAGGGCCUCCACACUGCUUUUUGCUGAGCCGUGGUUCUACUGAGCUAUCAGAGACCCUUGCAGGGUUACAUUGUUCUCUGGGCCAGCCCGGAUCACUUUCCCUUGGAUCCAUCUGGGCUUGGGGUUUUAGGGCCCCUGGUUCUCCCUGAGUUCUUUUUGUUUCCUGAGUGACACAGAGUGCCUUGACUUAGGAUUUGGCCAGCUGUUUUCCCUGUAGGUCUGAAUCCAAGUCGGGACCUUGGAUGUUCCUAGGCACCCAUAAAGCUGCUUAAGUUGUUCCUCAAAUAUACUGGGAGAUAACUCUGUUCCUAAACAGGUAGGAACUAGCCCCAGACUUGAACUAAAUCCCUGAAGCCCUCUUCUAAACUCCGUAGCCAGACCCCCCUCCUUGCAGACAAACUUUGGUAGAACCUAUCUGGUCUCUAGGAAGCUGGGCCCUGUAAGUUCCCCUAGUAAGUGCUGAAGAAUUAGUACUUCUUAACUUGAAAUCUCAACUUGGGAUGGUUUAGGGCACUCCCUUGUGGGAAUCCCCCUAUAUUGCCCUUGAGGUGUCUCCAGCCUUUGUUUCAGCAGGGUUCCAAGCUGUAAAUGUUUCCGGAAACAUCCCGACUAAAAAGCUAUUUUCAAAGAGAUGCUGUAUCUCCAGGAGCACAUUGGUAUCCUGACAGACAAGCCAGAGCUAUGCAACUUUAAACAGGCAAGGACAGAUGGGGCACUCUAACAAGGCUAGUACUCUCCUGGACACACUCAAGUCUCACAGUGAUUAAAAUGUACUAGGGCUUUUUUUAAAUCAGGUGUGAUAAGACACACACACAGAAAUGGAUGUAAUGAAAGAAUUUGGUUUAUGGACACAAGUCCCUAGAAACAAGAAGCAGGGCAUGCCACACAGGGCCAACUGGGAAGGAUCAGGAGUGGUCAGGGCAGAAAGGAGAUGGCAGAAUAUGGCCCAGGGCAGAAAUUUACCCCUGGUUUCUGGUUGAAGGACAGAUGGUACCCAGAUAUCUUGUUAGAAAAAACAUUUUCUAUGCACAGGCACCCAUAGAGUUCUGUCCAUGUGUUCUACCUUGCAUGGUGGGAGCAAAACCAUUGUAACAGACUCAACUGCUGAAAAUCCAGCAGCUCGGAGGCUGAAGCAGGUGGAUUGCAAGUUCAAACCAGCCUCAGCAAGAACAAGGCACUAAGCAACUCAGUGAAACCCUGUCUCUAAAUAAAAUACAAAAUAGGGCUGGGGAUGUGGCUCAGUGGUUGAGUGCCCCUGAGUUAAAUCCCUGCUAUAAAAAAAAAAAAAAGCAAAUAGUGACAUUUUUCAUGAUUAAUGAAAAUAAUUUUUUUUAAUAUUUAUUUUUUAGUUUUCGGCGGACACAACAUCUUUGUUUGUAUGUGGUGUUGAGGAUCGAACCCGGGCUGCACGCAUGCCAGGCGAGUGCGCUACCGCUUGAGCCACAUCCCCAGCCCCUAAUGAAAAUAAUUUCAAAAGUGCCUCCCUGUCCCCAGCACUAUUGAUAAAGUCAGAUUCAACCCCUAGGAAACUGCAGACAUGUGCCAUGUGAAGUCAACUAUUAUCAUGAAACAUGGAAAAGAUGUCUAAAAAUAAGACAGCUGUUAAAUAAAUCAUGUUUCACACUAAAGAGCAAAGGUACACAGGGAUUGUUACCCAAUGAGUAGAUAAAAAUUCUAAGAAGAAUGUAACCCCAAUUCUUCAAAUAAGUGUCUGUACACACUAGCAUUAGAAAGACACUGAAAACACACCAAAACAUCAAUAGUUGCUAUCUCUGGAGGCGAGUGUUUUCAUUUGGAUGUGAGCUGUCCCCUGAAAGCUGACAUGUGAGACAAUGCAAGAGAGUUUGGAGGGAGAAAUGAUCGGGUUAUAAGCCUAAUCAGUGAUUAACUGAAGUCAUGGGGUAUGGAUGGAGGAGGCGGGAAUUGGGACAUGGCUUUAGUGUACAUAUUUGUAUCUGGAGAGUGAGUCUCUCUGCUUCCUGGUCACAUGAUGUGAGCUGCUUCCCUCUGCCACACUCUCCUGCUAUGAUGUUCAACCUCACCUUGAGCCCUGAAAAAUGGAGCUGGCCUUCAGUGGGCUAAGACCUCCGGAACCAUGAGCUCUCAAAUAAAUUUUUCCUCCUCUGUAGUUG
rnacentral:lncRNA from 1 species